AGCUAGCGGCAGGCUAACACAUGCAAGUCGAGGGGUAGAGGAAGCUUGCUUCCUUGAGACCGGCGCACGGGUGCGUAACGCGUAUGCAAUCUGCCUUGUACUGAGGGAUAGCCCAGAGAAAUUUGGAUUAAUACCUCAUAGCAUUAUGAAAUCGCAUGGUUUUAUAAUUAAAGUUCCAACGGUACAAGAUGAGCAUGCGUCCCAUUAGUUAGUUGGUAAGGUAACGGCUUACCAAGACGAUGAUGGGUAGGGGUCCUGAGAGGGAGAUCCCCCACACUGGUACUGAGACACGGACCAGACUCCUACGGGAGGCAGCAGUGAGGAAUAUUGGUCAAUGGACGCAAGUCUGAACCAGCCAUGCCGCGUGCAGGAUGAAGCAUCUAUGGUGUGUAAACUGCUUUUGUACGGGAAGAAACACUCCUACGUGUAGGAGCUUGACGGUACCGUAAGAAUAAGGAUCGGCUAACUCCGUGCCAGCAGCCGCGGUAAUACGGAGGAUCCAAGCGUUAUCCGGAAUCAUUGGGUUUAAAGGGUCCGUAGGCGGCUUUAUAAGUCAGUGGUGAAAGCCCAUCGCUUAACGAUGGAACGGCCAUUGAUACUGUAGAGCUUGAAUUACUUGGAAGUAACUAGAAUAUGUAGUGUAGCGGUGAAAUGCUUAGAUAUUACAUGGAAUACCAAUUGCGAAGGCAGGUUACUACAAGUGGAUUGACGCUGAUGGACGAAAGCGUGGGGAGCGAACAGGAUUAGAUACCCUGGUAGUCCACGCCGUAAACGAUGGAUACUAGCUGUUCGGAGCAACUUCAGUGGCUAAGCGAAAGUGAUAAGUAUCCCACCUGGGGAGUACGUUCGCAAGAAUGAAACUCAAAUGAAUUGACGG
rnacentral:rRNA from 1 species